GAUCCUGGCUCAGGAUGAACGCUAGCUACAGGCUUAACACACGCAAGUCGAGGGGCAGCAUGGUCUUAGCUUGCUAAGGCCGAUGGCGACCGGCGCACAGGUGAGUAACGCGUAUCCAACCUGCCUUACACUCUUGGACAGCCUUCUGAAAGGGAGAUUAAUACAAGAUGUUAUCAUGAGUAAGCAUUUUCGCAUGAUUAAAGGUUUACCGGUGUAAGAUGGGGAUGCGUU
rnacentral:rRNA from 1 species